GGGAUCUUAGGGCCAAAAUUGGGGUCUUACAGAUGCCCCUAUUUAAGGUCAUUCUAGCCGGAGAAGUGAAGUUUAGAAAUCUUCAUUUCGACGCGGUAGAAUGGGCUUAAAUAAUAGUAAUGAGACAAAUUUUGGUCCCUAAGAGACCUCAUGAUGCAGAUGUAUGCAUGCAAAAGCAAAUUCUGUGGAGAAUAUAUUGUUCACACAGAAGAAAAGACGAUCCGUCGGAGUAAUACACUCACCAGGAACAGAGACUCAACUAAUAAGACUCUUAUUGG
rnacentral:lncRNA from 1 species